GCCGGGCAUGGUGGCGCUUGCCUGUGAUCCCAGCUACUCGGGAGGCUGAGGCAGGAGAAUUGCUUGAACCUGGGAGGCGGAGGUUGCAGUGAGCCGAGAUCGUGCCACUGCACUCCAGCCUGGGUGACAGAGCGAGACUCCGUCUCAC
rnacentral:SRP_RNA from 1 species